rnacentral:rRNA from 1 species
UUCCGGCAUUAUUGGGGCGUAAGGGCUCGCAGGCGGUUUCUUAAGUCUGAUGUGAAAGCCCCCGGCUCAACCGGGGAGGGUCAUUGGAAACUGGGGAACUUGAGUGCAGAAGAGGAGAGUGGAAUUCCACGUGUAGCGGUGAAAUGCGUAGAGAUGUGGAGGAACACCAGUGGCGAAGGCGACUCUCUGGUCUGUAACUGACGCUGAGGAGCGAAAGCGUGGGGAGCGAACAGGAUUAGAUACCCUGGUAGUCCACGCCGUAAACGAUGAGUGCUAAGUGUUAGGGGGUUUCCGCCCCUUAGUGCUGCAGCUAACGCAUUAAGCACUCCGCCUGGGGAGUACGGUCGCAAGACUGAAACUCAAAGGAAUUGACGGGGGCCCGCACAAGCGGUGGAGCAUGUGGUUUAAUUCGAAGCAACGCGAAGAACCUUACCAGGUCUUGACAUCCUCUGACAAUCCUAGAGAUAGGACGUCCCCUUCGGGGGCAGAGUGACAGGUGGUGCAUGGUUGUCGUCAGCUCGUGUCGUGAGAUGUUGGGUUAAGUCCCGCAACGAGCGCAACCCUUGAUCUUAGUUGCCAGCAUUCAGUUGGGCACUCUAAGGUGACUGCCGGUGACAAACCGGAGGAAGGUGGGGAUGACGUCAAAUCAUCAUGCCCCUUAUGACCUGGGCUACACACGUGCUACAAUGGACAGAACAAAGGGCAGCGAAACCGCGAGGUUAAGCCAAUCCCACAAAUCUGUUCUCAGUUCGGAUCGCAGUCUGCAACUCGACUGCGUGAAGCUGGAAUCGCUAGUAAUCGCGGAUCACCAUGCCGCGGGUGAAUACGUUCCCGGGCCUUGUACACACCGCCCGUCACACCACGAGAGUUUGUAACACCCGAAGUCGGUGAGGUAACCUUUUAGGAGCCAGCCGCCGAAGGUGGGACAGAUGAUUGGGGUGAAUCUACAAGAAAAAACCCCACAUAUAAAAAAGGUGGUUAAGGGGGCCCGGGGUU